rnacentral:rRNA from 1 species
UCUCCACUAUAGGGGGAAAUUAAAUUUGGCGGGCCGGGAAUUCACCCUUUCUUGGUCAUUUUAGAGGAAGUAAAAGUCGUAACAAGGUUUUCCGUAGGUGAACCUGCGGGAAGGGAUCAUUAAUGAAUUAAAGUCGGUCUUCUGUGCUGGUGGUGACACAUGUGCACGUUAAUCGCAAAUCCACACACCUGUGCACCUUUGACUUUAGGAUCCGCUUGUUGGCUUGUCUGACUUGCAGCUGAUGUUGGUUUUGUGCUCAUCUGGAUCUUAGAGUAAUUUUACACACUCUGAAUGUAAUGGAAUGUUCCUGUGCAUAAUGCGCAAAAUACAACUUUCAACAACGGAUCUCUUGGCUCUCGCAUCGAUGAAGAACGCAGCGAAAUGUGAUAAGUAAUGUGAAUUGCAGAAUUCAGUGAAUCAUCGAAUCUUUGAACGCACCUUGCACCCUUUGGUAUUCCAAAGGGUACACCCGUUUGAGUGUCAUUGUAAUCUCACUUCAUCAGCUUUUGUUGAUGGAGGUGGACUUGGACUCUGUUGUGUCAUUACAACUGGUCUGAAAUGUGUGAGUGCACCCUGCUGUUGCAGCGUCCUCAGUGUGAUAAGCAUCUUCACUGAAUCAAGUUCCUUUGGGACACGUGUGUAAUGUGGGCUCUGUGCUGGCAAACUGUCUUUGGACAAUCUUGACAAUUUGACCUCAGAUCGAGUGGGACUACCCGCUGAACUUAAGCAUAUCAAUAAGCGGAGAAAGGGCGAAUUCGUAGCG